rnacentral:rRNA from 1 species
GUCGAGCGAACAGAUGAGAAGCUUGCUUCUCUGAUGUUAGCGGCGGACGGGUGAGUAACACGUGGGUAACCUACCUAUAAGACUGGGAUAACUCCGGGAAACCGGGGCUAAUACCGGAUAAUAUUUUGAACCGCAUGGUUCAAUAGUGAAAGACGGUUUCGGCUGUCACUUAUAGAUGGACCCGCGCCGUAUUAGCUAGUUGGUAAGGUAACGGCUUACCAAGGCGACGAUACGUAGCCGACCUGAGAGGGUGAUCGGCCACACUGGAACUGAGACACGGUCCAGACUCCUACGGGAGGCAGCAGUAGGGAAUCUUCCGCAAUGGGCGAAAGCCUGACGGAGCAACGCCGCGUGAGUGAUGAAGGUCUUCGGAUCGUAAAACUCUGUUGUUAGGGAAGAACAAAUUUGUUAGUAACUGAACAAGUCUUGACGGUACCUAACCAGAAAGCCACGGCUAACUACGUGCCAGCAGCCGCGGUAAUACGUAGGUGGCAAGCGUUAUCCGGAAUUAUUGGGCGUAAAGCGCGCGUAGGCGGUUUCUUAAGUCUGAUGUGAAAGCCCACGGCUCAACCGUGGAGGGUCAUUGGAAACUGGGAAACUUGAGUGCAGAAGAGGAGAGUGGAAUUCCAUGUGUAGCGGUGAAAUGCGCAGAGAUAUGGAGGAACACCAGUGGCGAAGGCGGCUCUCUGGUCUGUAACUGACGCUGAUGUGCGAAAGCGUGGGGAUCAAACAGGAUUAGAUACCCUGGUAGUCCACGCCGUAAACGAUGAGUGCUAAGUGUUAGGGGGUUUCCGCCCCUUAGUGCUGCAGCUAACGCAUUAAGCACUCCGCCUGGGGAGUACGACCGCAAGGUUGAAACUCAAAGGAAUUGACGGGGACCCGCACAAGCGGUGGAGCAUGUGGUUUAAUUCGAAGCAACGCGAAGAACCUUACCAAAUCUUGACAUCCUUUGACCGCUCUAGAGAUAGAGUCUUCCCCUUCGGGGGACAAAGUGACAGGUGGUGCAUGGUUGUCGUCAGCUCGUGUCGUGAGAUGUUGGGUUAAGUCCCGCAACGAGCGCAACCCUUAAGCUUAGUUGCCAUCAUUAAGUUGGGCACUCUAGGUUGACUGCCGGUGACAAACCGGAGGAAGGUGGGGAUGACGUCAAAUCAUCAUGCCCCUUAUGAUUUGGGCUACACACGUGCUACAAUGGAUAAUACAAAGGGCAGCGAAUCCGCGAGGCCAAGCAAAUCCCAUAAAAUUAUUCUCAGUUCGGAUUGUAGUCUGCAACUCGACUACAUGAAGCUGGAAUCGCUAGUAAUCGUAGAUCAGCAUGCUACGGUGAAUACGUUCCCGGGUCUUGUACACACCGCCCGUCACACCACGAGAGUUUGUAACACCCGAAGCCGGUGGAGUAACCU